AUAAUGGACCCUCCACAUAUCUCCAUAUUGUCUCCCUUCAAACAAAUCUAUCCCCUCCAAAUAGCGAGAACUUGUUUUUCUCCCUGACACAACAUCCGAUAGAGCACGAGCACAAACAACAAUUGACAAAGAAUGUUUAUUUUUCUCUUAUUAAGGCUAAAUAGAGCACAAAUGAGGCUCAUUAACUCUCUUUGCUUGGCAUCUAAGGAUUGCUCCAACACAUAACUAGGUUUAGGCUAUGACUAAUACCAAUUGAUGAGGACAACGCACCCACCUCCACAUAUCUUCAAUUAAUAUGGUAUUGUCUACUAUGAGCA